AGUGUUGCAGUGUGUUUGGGGGCUGCUGUGUGUAUUUGUGAGGUGUGAGGGGUGUAGUGUGUAUUUGUGAGGGGUAUAGUGUGUGUGUGGGAGUUGAGGGUGCUGUCUGUGUGAGUGUGUGUCUGAGGUGUGCAGUGUGUGUUUGUGUAGGAGGUGUGCAGUGAGUGAGGGUGUUGUGUGCAGUGUGUGUGUGACGGUGCUGUGUGAUGUGUGAGGUGUGCAGUGUUUGUGGGUGAUGUUGCUGUGUGUGAGGUGUGCUGUGUGUGAGGGUGCUGCGUGUGAGUGAGGGUGCUGAGUGAGGUGUGCAGUGUGGGUUCUGUGUGUGAGGUGUGCGGUGUGUGUGUGUGUGCAGUGUGUGUGUGUGAGUGUUGUGUGUGUGGUGUGCAGUGUGUGUGAGGUGUGCAGUGUGUGUGUGAGGGUGCUGUGUGUGUGUGUGCUGUGUGUGAGGUGUGUGGUGUGUGUGUGUGAGGGUGCCGUGUGUGUGUGUGAGGGUGCCGUGUGUGUGUGAGGGUGCUGUGUGUGAGGAUUGCAGUAUGUGUGAGGUUUGCAGUAUGUGUGAGAUGUGUGUGUGUGACGGUGCUGUGUGUAAG